rnacentral:lncRNA from 1 species
AUGUCAAAAGCAGUGCCCGGUCAAACAACUUCAAAUAAAAUGAGACGAAUGGAAUAUCAAUAUGAUGAGGAGUUUAAGCCAUCAAAACUAUAUUCGCACUUACAUUGAACGGGAAAAGUGCAGACAAUAAUUAAGAGAUCAAGUGGCAUUGGCCACCAUCUCCAGAGGUUCUGUGUGGUGGUUUUCGAUAUACACAUCCUCUCAUCAUAUCAC